rnacentral:misc_RNA from 1 species
AGCAGCCGCGGUAAUUCCAGCUCCAAUAGCGUAUAUUAAAGUUGCUGCAGUUAAAAAGCUCGUAGUUGAAUUUCGGGAUCAAUAUGUCGGUCGUGCCUCGGUACGUACUGGCUUAUUGGUUUCUCCUUUCUGAAGAACCAUGAUGUCAUUUAUUUGGUGUCGUGGGAAAUCAGGACUGUUACUUUGAAAAAAUUAGAGUGUUUAAAGCAGGCUCACGCUUGAAUACAUUAGCAUGGAAUAAUGAAAUAGGACGUUUGAUUCUAUUUUGUUGGUUUCUAGGAUCGACGUAAUGAUUAAUAGGGAUAGUUGGGGGCAUUAGUAUUCAAUUGUCAGAGGUGAAAUUCUUGGAUUUAUUGAAGACUAACUACUGCGAAAGCAUUUGCCAAGGAUGUUUUCAUUAAUCAAGAACGAAAGUUAGGGGAUCGAAGACGAUCAGAUACCGUCGUAGUCUUAACCAUAAACUAUGCCGACUAGGGAUCGGAUGAUGUUAAUUUUUUUAAUGACUCAUUCGGCGCCUUAC